UGCCUCCUAACUCCUAUCCCUACCUCCUCGUGGUACUGGCCGGGGUACGAGUAACCUUGGGGAAGAUCGGGUAACCAACCCCCGGUGGGAACUUUGGUCGUAUGCUGACAGGGAAGG
rnacentral:ribozyme from 1 species